AGACUUUGAUUCUGGCUCAGAACGAACGCUGGCGGCAGGCCUAACACAUGCAAGUCGAGCGCGCCCUUCGGGGUGAGCGGCGGACGGGUGAGUAACGCGUGGGAACGUGCCCUUUGCUGCGGAAUAGCCACUGGAAACGGUGAGUAAUACCGCAUGAGCCCUUCGGUGGAAAGAUUUAUCGGCAAAGGAUCGGCCCGCGUUGGAUUAGGUAGUUGGUGGGGUAAUGGCCUACCAAGCCGACGAUCCAUAGCUGGUUUUAGAGGAUGAUCAGCCACACUGGGACUGAGACACGGCCCAGACUCCUACGGGAGGCAGCAGUGGGGAAUCUUAGACAAUGGGCGCAAGCCUGAUCUAGCCAUGCCGCGUGAGUGACGAAGGCCCUAGGGUCGUAAAGCUCUUUCGCCUGUGAUGAUAAUGACAGUAGCAGGUAAAGAAACCCCGGCUAACUCCGUGCCAGCAGCCGCGGUAAUACGGAGGGGGUAGCGUUGUUCGGAAUUACUGGGCGUAAAGCGCGCGUAGGCGGAUUGGAAAGUUGGGGGUGAAAUCCCCGGGCCUCAA
rnacentral:rRNA from 1 species